rnacentral:rRNA from 1 species
AAGAGAGAGUUAAAGAGGACGUGAAACCGAUGAGGUGGAAACGGAUAGAGUCAGCGCAUCUGGCUUGCAUUCAUCUGCUGUGCUGCUGGCAUCUGGUAUGCCGCUCUCCAGAUUGGGACGGUGACCUGUUUGCUGGCGGUCAGCGGUGCAUUUGCAAGUGGAGUGCGUCGAGAAUUUCGGAGCAGCUGUGCAAUCUCAGCUUUGAGGCCAUCCUGCAAGGGUUUGGUACCCGGGCUGGGGGAACGCUGUUUGCUCUGGAAAAAUGGUUUACGGCUAACGGGCCCGGGUGGGCGCUGAGCUGGUGCGGGCGGCGGUCGCAUGCGACACGUGCCAGUGUCCAGUUCGUUCCUGCUCGAGCUCACGCAUAACCGCUCUCGGCGUAAAAGCUGGUCAUCUAUCCGACCCGUCUUGAAACACGGACCAAGGAGUUUAUCGUGUGCGCGAGUCAUUGGGCGUUGAAAACCCAAGGGCGCAAUGAAAGUGAAUGUUUCUGCAAGGAGCUGAUGUGCGAUCCCGGGCAUUGCGGUGCCCGGGCGCAGCAUGGCCCCAUCCUGACUGCAUGCAGUGGGGUGGAGGCAGAGCGUACGCGGUGAGACCCGAAAGAUGGUGAACUAUUCCUGAGCAGGACGAAGCCAGAGGAAACUCUGGUGGAAGUCCGAAGCGGUUCUGACGUGCAAAUCGAUCG